GGUUCAGUGGUCUAGUGGUUAUGAUUUGUGUCUCACACGCUUAAAGGGUGAUAAGUUCACACAAGGUCCCCGGUUCGACCCCGGGCUGAACCA